GACGAACGCUGGCGGUGUGCUUAACACAUGCAAGUCGAACGGAAACGCCCUGCUUUCGUGGUGUGCUCGAGUGGCGAACGGGUGCGUAACACGUGAGUAACCUGCUCUUGACUUUGGGAUAACUUAAGGAAACUGGGGCUAAUACAGGAUCGGAGCUCCCGCUGCAUGGUGGGGGUUGGAUAGUUUCGGCGGUUGGGGAUGGAUUCGCGGCUUAUCAGCUUGCUGGUGGGGUAGUGGCUUACCAAGGCUUUGACGGGUCGCCGGCCUGAGAGGGUGACCGGCCACAUUGGGACUGAGAGACGGCCCAGACUCCUACGGGAGACAGCAGUGGGGAAUAUUGCACAAUGGGCGGAAGCCUGAUGCAGCGACGCCGCGUGCGGGAUGACGGCCUUCGGGUUGUGAACCGCUUUCGCCUGUGACGAAGCGUGAGUGACGGUAAUGGGUAAAGAAGCACCGGCUAACUACGUG
rnacentral:rRNA from 1 species